rnacentral:tRNA from 1 species
GGGGGUGUAGCUCAUAUGGUAGAGCGCUCACUUUGCAUGUGAGAGGCACGGGGUUCAAUUCCCUACACUUCCU